rnacentral:rRNA from 1 species
AGAUUGAACGCUGGCGGCAUGCCUUACACAUGCAAGUCGAACGGCAGCACGGGAGCAAUCCUGGUGGCGAGUGGCGAACGGGUGAGUAAUAUAUCGGAACGUGCCCAGUCGUGGGGGAUAACGCAGUGAAAGCUGUGCUAAUACCGCAUACGAUCUAUGGAUGAAAGCGGGGGACUCGGCAAGAGCCUCGCGCGAUUGGAGCGGCCGAUA